GCUUUCGUGGUGUAACGGUUAGCACACUCGGCGCGUAACGAGAGGUCCAGGUUCGAAUCCUAGCGAGAGUA
rnacentral:tRNA from 1 species